GAGCCCACAGGGACCCCCCACCCAUUCCAUGGGGCUGGCCCGGUGUAUGCCCUGCAGCUCCCUCACCCCUGGAGGAAGAGUGGUAAGGUGGGAAAAGAGGCUCAGCUGGACCUCGCGAACACUAUCCUGACACAAAUUGGAGGACUGUCUACCUCUGCCAGAUGGGAUAUAGAAGAUCAGCUCUCUGUUCACCUUUGCUGAUACCACCCAGCAGAGAAUCAGAACAUCACCUGUUUGCAGGCCAGUAGUGCUGUGUGUGGAAGGCCAUUUCCUGGCUGGCCAUUUUCUGGACCUGUGGACCUGGGGAGAUGAGCAGAAGGGCGGAAGCGUGUGGGAUUUGACUGAA